AUGCGUCUAGUGUUCACAACAAAGGUUCUUCUUGAUGAAAUGAGAUCAGAUGAUGGUUGGGAGGCCUUUUUUGAUAGGGUUGUUGAGUUCUGUGUAAAUCAUUCCAUUGAUAUUCCAGAUCUGGGAGAAACUUACAUUAUGCAUGGUGGUCGUGCUCGUCGCCAACCAGAUCAUUUUACUAAGGAGCAUUAUUUCCUGGUGGAAGUAUUUCGUGCAACACUUGAUACUCAGCUACAUGAAUUAUAA
rnacentral:rRNA from 1 species